rnacentral:rRNA from 1 species
GACGAACGCUGGCGGCGCGCCUAACACAUGCAAGUCGAACGAGCGGAGGACUUCGGUUCAAAGCUAGUGGCGGACGGGUGAGUAACACGUGAGGAACCUGCCUUUCAGAGUGGGAUACCGUUUGGAAACGAACGUUAAUACCGCAUAAUGUAUAUUGAUCGCAUGGUCGAUAUACCAAAGAUUUAUCGCUGAGAGAUGGCCUCGCGUCUGAUUAGCUAGUUGGCGGGGUAACGGCCCACCAAGGCGACGAUCAGUAGCCGGCCUGAGAGGGUGGACGGCCACAUUGGGACUGAGACACGGCCCAAACUCCUACGGGAGGCAGCAGUGGGGAUAUUGGGCAAUGGGCGCAAGCCUGAUGCAGCGACGCCGCGUGAGCGAAGAAGUAUUCGGUAUGUAAGCUCUAUCAGCAGGGAGAAAAUAGACGGUACCUGACUAAGAAGCACCGGCUAAAUACGUG